CUGCAGAGUUCUCAGGUACUUCUGUGCUUUUAAACUCAAACUCCUGAAGCCUACAUGCAAAGUGCCUGGGCUCUCCUUACAACCUCCAGGCUUGGCAGUGCUCAUGGGGGCUGCUGAAUACGUGUCUGCUGCUUGGCAGCACGGACUCAGUCUCUGUAUGGACUUCAGUAGUUGUGGCUCAUGGGCUUAGCUCAUCCAUGGUAUCUGGAAUCUUCCCUUCAUUGGCAGGUGGAUUCUUAUCCACUGUGCCACCAGUAGUCAUGUGAGAGUUGGACCAUAAAGAAAGGAGUGCCAAAGAACUGAUGGUUGCAA